rfam:Pseudoxanthomonas suwonensis 11-1, complete genome.
GGGCGGUUAGCUCAGCGGUAGAGCAUUGCCUUCACACGGCAAGGGUCGCAGGUUCGAUCCCUGCACCGCCCA